rnacentral:lncRNA from 10 species
AUCCUAAAUUAAAUAAGUUACUCAUAGUCGAAUAAUUUGAAAAACUGAAUUAUAAAGGAAGAAAAAAAGUUUUCAAUUUUUAACAGCAAAAAUUCUACUUAAUAUGGGAUUAUGGUUUGGGGUAAAUGAAAUCUACAAAUGUUCAAAACCAAAAGCCUAAAAAGAUCUAAAAUAGUCUCAUUUCUCUGCUUCAAAGAUCAGUGAAAUUGCUACCUGAGUUCAUCCAUUUCACAGUUGAUCUGCAUGGGAAAUUAUAUGUGCUUCUCUGAUUUUUCUUUGGAUGUGUCGCUUUUAUUCUAACUGCUGGAACUAUUUGUUGUACCUCUUUCUGAAGAUCAGUUUGGGGCUAAAUUACAAGCUCCAUCAGCACAGGGGCCAUGGCUGCCUCCUGACUGCUGUAGGCUGAGCACUUGGUAGAGCAUCAGCCCACAGAUAGCAGCCCAGUGAACCAAUGAACAGGUGGAAGCAAGAAUCAAAGUGUUAAAUGAGAGUUAACCU